AUGUGUAUUUCUCCCAAGGGGAGUCCUUCACGGGCCCGCAAGGUGAGGCCCUCGCCCGGCCGCCCUGCCCGGCCGCCCGGUCCUCCCCACCCCAAGGUCAGGGGCUCGGCCGUCAAGUUCCUCUCCCACCCCAAGGUCAGGGGCAAGCGGCUAGGGUUUCGCCCGCGUCGCCUCCCACCUCCCGUCCCUGCCCAGGCCGCCAUGUUCCAGCUAGGCUCCGCCCCCGGGAAGGGCUUCUGGGCGCGGCACCGGUGGAAGAUGCUCCUCUCGCUGGGCGUCGCCGGCGCCGGCUACGCGGCCUACCGCUUCUACGAUGCGCACCAGAAGCAGCUCGUCCGGAGGAUCUCGGAUACAACCACGCUGCCAUUUGCUAUGCACUACCUACGUUCACGGAUAAUGGAGGAGCUGGAUACUUCGCACCUGAUCGAGAGGCUGCUGCAAGGGCGGAGCGGGCUGGAUGAUGCUGAAGUAGUCAUCUUCGUCGGCCCCGUCACUGCGUGUUGUGAUCUGGAGAAGCUCAACUUCAAGCCUUGGGGUCUUGCUGACAUUAGUUGUUUCAAGUUCAGACCUUUUUCACCGCUGACUAUACUCUCUCAAGUUCAGGUCACGGUGGAUGGUUUGGGAGGAGGGAGGCAGAGCAGAGACAAACGGCGCAUUCGGUCAUGCAUAUGCCUUACUCUCGCCCCUAGCGCCAUCGGCGCAACGGGUCAUCUAGUAUUAUCAAAAGGGAUAAAGUGA
rnacentral:rRNA from 1 species